GUCUCGGGUCCCGGUGGCUUUCAGGGCGAAUUCCAGAAAGUCGGGCGGAAACUGAGCAGAGUCCUCACGGCUCAGGGAGGAGGCGCUGGCGGGCGGGGAGGCGACAUCGGCGUCAGGGGCAUUUGUUUCGAAGUUCAAGGCUGUUCGCUCCAGGCCAAGGACGAGUCCCAGGCGGGACGGGCGCGCGGGCGGGGCGUCGCCGCGGGCGGGAGGGCGACGCGGGCGCUGAGUCACUCCCUGCCCGCGAGGGACUGGGGCCGGCGGCGGCGGCGGGAGGCGGCCGGCAGUAGUGCCUGGUUUGAGAUGGGGUCCCAGGUAUCAGUGGACACAGGAGCUCUGCACGUGGUGAUCGUGGGUGGUGGCUUCGGCGGGAUUGCAGCCGCCAGCCAGCUGCAGGCGCUGAAUGUCCCCUUUGUGCUGGUGGACAUGAAGGACUCCUUCCACCACAACGUGGCAGCUCUCCGGGCCUCCGUGGAGAGUGGGUUUGCCAAGAAGACAUUCAUUUCCUACUCGGUGACCUUCAAGGACAACUUCCGGCAGGGCCUGGUGGUCGGGAUAGACCUGAAGAACCAGACAGUGCUGCUGCAGGAUGGCGAGGCCUUGCCCUUCUCACAUCUUAUCCUGGCCACAGGCAGCACCGGACCCUUCCCGGGCAAAUUUAAUGAGGUUUCCAGCCAGCAGGCCGCCAUCCAGGCCUAUGAGGACAUGGUGCAGCAGGUCCAGCGCUCGCAGUUCAUCGUGGUGGUGGGAGGAGGCUCCGCGGGAGUGGAGAUGGCUGCAGAGAUUAAAACAGAAUAUCCCGAGAAAGAGGUCACUCUCAUUCACUCCCAAGUGCCCCUGGCCGACAAGGAGCUCCUGCCUUGCGUCCGGCAGGAAGUGAAGGACAUCCUCCUGCGGAAGGGUGUGCAGCUGCUGCUGAGUGAGCGGGUGAGCAACCUGGAGGAGCUGCCUCUCAGUGAGUAUCGAGAGUACAUCAAAGUGCUGACUGACAAAGGCACGGAGGUGGCCGCCAACCUGGUGAUUCUCUGCAACGGUGUCAAGAUCAACAGCUCUGCCUACCGCGGUGCAUUUGCAGAGAGCAGACUGGCCAGCAAUGGUGCUCUGAGGGUGAAUGAGCACCUCCAGGUGGAGGGUUACAGCAAUGUUUACGCCAUCGGAGACUGUGCCAAUGUGAAGGAGCCCAAGAUGGCCUAUCAUGCCGGCCUCCAUGCCAAUGUAGCUGUGGCCAACAUUGUCAACUCUGUGAAACAGAGGCCCCUCAAGGCCUACAAGCCAGGUGCACUGACGUUCCUCCUGUCCAUGGGGAGAAAUGAUGGCGUGGGCCAGAUCAGUGGCUACUAUGUGGGUCGGCUCAUGGUUCGGCUGGUCAAGAGCCGGCACCUGUUCGUCUCUAAAAGCUGGAAAACCAUGGGGCAGUCCCCACCCUGAUGGGGAGGCCAGGUGGGAUACGAGGCACCGCUGCAGCCAGGAGAAUAGACCGCUUGACAAAGGAUGCCCACCUGUUCUAAAACAACAGGAAGGAAACAUGGAAAGAACCCCUGCGUGGAGACCUGGUUAAUUACGACUGAGGCUCUUUCCGAGGAGCAAACGCAGAGGGCUCCUUCCAGGCAGCACCCGCUCCCGCUGCCUCCACCGCCUGCUGCCCUUCCAGCCCUUGCAACUCCCCUGCCGCACCCUUCCUCUCUCCUUUUAAAAAAUAAAACCCCACUCUGGUGACUCUAAUCCUCCGGUGGUCCCUGCUGGGAAGCGCAGCAGCUACUUGGUGUCGAGCUUGGCCAUCUCCUGCACGUAGAUGCCGAUGCUCUCGCUGUCAAAGAGCAGGAAGUACACGUUCUUCAGCGAGGAUGCACUCGAGUCGUCGAAGUGGGACGAGAUUGCUUUGAGGGUCACCUGGGCUGCCGUCUGUUUGGGAAAGCAGUUUCUGUGCCAAAGCAAGAGAAGAGCCAACAUCAUUUCGGUCUCCGGGACCCACUGGAGUAACUCUCCCAGCAGCCUGGGAGGACGAUGUGGUCCCUUCUUAUAGCUUACCACACACAGGGCUGGUCCCUAGUCAAAAGGGAUAGCUGGGGAGGAGGCACUUUAUAGGUACCAACCUGACUCAGAGAGGGACAAUGACUUCAGCCAGGGUCACAGGGCUGGCAGGUGAGGAAUGCCAUGUAUUUGACUCUAUGUCGCCUGACUCAAGUUGAGCUUGGCUUUAAAAAACGCUAGCAAUUUAGCAUUAAAAAUACCUGGUCUUCCAAAAAGCAAAUAUAGGUUUUAUUAGCUCCCUCAAAACUGGCUACAUGCUAAUCAGAUUGUUUAUUCGGGGGCAAAAAUGUAUGCUCAAAAGCUCGCCUUCGUAAUUACUUUUUCAUGCACUUAAUAUUGCUCUCAUUAUCUCAUAUAGACAUGCCAAUGUGAUUUUGGCAGCUGUGACUCUAGGCAGGACCGGGUUGGUGAAAGAUUGCUAAAGGCCUGAAGUACUAGGGAGUCACUGAUAGUGCUGGCUGCCAGUUGGGCCAUGGCACCAGCCUCUGGGGACAUAGCUACAGUGGUCAUUUGGGGUCAAGAUCCCUGAGGAAGGUCCAGGCUGGGCCUGCCUAAUAUGAAUUCUGACUCACAUGUAUGUAGUGUUCUAGCACAACAUAGCACUGCCCAUGGUCCCGCCAAUAGAAGAAUUCAUCCUGCCAGGCAUUGGCCUGGACUGUGGAGGCCCAGCACCAUGUACUUAGGUUGAGAUAUGAUCAUAGCAGGGACCCAGGCCUCAUUAUUUCCCCCUUAGCCUUCCCAUGACACAGCUACAAAUCAUAUCUGUGUUAUAGAGGAGCAGCUCUGAAGAUGAGAAGGUAUUCAAAAGUAAAGCAGUAAGUUGCUUGGCCAGGAGCAUGCGGGGAGAAGAAGUGCUGCAUGCCAGAGCAGACAUCCUCCUUGCUUACCUGAACUGAUGCCCUCUGGGGCAUGUGACAAUGAACACAGUCAUUUCUCCUAGCUCCCUUUUAAGGGGGCCCGUGACGAGAGCCUUUCACUUCUCUGGGUGUACUGGUCAAAGCCUCAACCUGGCUCUGCUGUCUCCCAGCACAGCACAGGAAUCUCCCUAGGGAUUCUGAACAGGAGGUCUGGGGUAGGGCCUGAGAUUCUGCAUGCCAGCAGGGAUGUCACUGCUAUGGAUCCAUGGACUGCACUUGGAGUAUGGGCUUUUCUGAUCAUGUGUUCUGGACACGGAUAGCUGGUGGGAAUGUGGGCUUUGAACAGGGCAGGCUCCCAAUAACAUGCCACCUUGCCUCUGCCUCCCCCUCCUCCCCUGAAGCUGCCUUUCUCUCUGGCUUUACAUCAAAGAAGCAGGGGAGCUGGCCCCACACAUGGGAGACCUGAUGCCCUGUGAGCCCGUGGGCCCAUUUAUCUGUGUGUUGCAAAGGCUGGAAACUGGGUUCAUUGCUCUAUCACUUGGUAAACAUUCUAGGCUGUGCUGGCAGCCCUUGGCUGUGUCUUCUGGAAUGGCCAGAUCAGAUGGGGAUCAGUGGGGAGCAGCUGGUUCCCAGGGAAAAGGCUGGAAGAAUCAGCUCAGGAGAACUGCAUCUUACCUGCCACUGGGGAAAGGAGGGAACGCGACAGAUUUGAGCUUUUUGUCCUCUGCCGCCGACAGGCAGUUUUUGAUGGUCUCUUCAAGCUGUUCUUCACAUUUGUCGGAGCCCCACUGAGGGAUGUGACAGUGGAUGACAAAUUUGGCUGCAAGUCCACUGGAUUGGCUGACGGCGGCUGGGAAUGGGAGAAAGAAAUGCUGCAGGUUAUUUCCUGAGUCUUCCCCUUAAGCCGGGGGUCAGGCCGAACCUCAUGGAUCUACCUGUUAAAUCCGAGGGGCACAAGCAAGUGACAGAGAAGAUGGAUGCAAACGUUCGUGCUUCCCAUGAGGACCACGUUUGCCAGAGAGCAGGGGCGGUGUCAAAAUGGCUUUGGGUAGUCAGCCCAAGGUCCGGAUAAAAGCGUUUAAUGCUGAUUUGACAGGAUGUAUUUUUCACAUGGUCUACUGACUAGUCCCUGGAUUAGGCUGCCUAUUCGUGAUGGUUCCUAGUCAAAGGAACACAUGGAAAUCAUCUCUGGCAGCUAUGAUAGGCUGAGUAACAGCCUCCCCCAAAUACUCUGAAAUCUGUGGGUGUUACCUCAUAUGGCAAAAGGGAUGCAGAUAUGAUUAAUUUAAGGAUCUUGAGAUGGGAGAUUGUCAUGGAUUAUCUAGGUGAGACCUAAAUGUGAUCACAUAAGUUCUUAGGAGACAAGAAGGUCAGAGGCAGGAGAAGGCAAAGUGACGAUGGGAGCAGAGAUUGGAGUGAUGCGGCCAGGAACCAGGGGAUGUCGCAGCCCGGAAGCUGGAAAAGGCAGGGAAGGGAUUCUGCCCCGAGCCUCCAGAAGGAAUCAGCCCUGCCGGCACUUUCAUUUUAGCUCCUUCAAACCCACUGUGGACUUCUGACUGCCAGAACUAUAAGAGAAUAAAUUUGUGUU